UACGGGGGGGGCAAGCGUUGUUCGGAAUUACUGGGCGUAAAGGGCUCGUAGGCGGCCAACUAAGUCAGACGUGAAAUCCCUCGGCUUAACCGGGGAACUGCGUCUGAUACUGGAUGGCUUGAGUUUGGGAGAGGGAUGCGGAAUUCCAGGUGUAGCGGUGAAAUGCGCAGAUAUCAGGAAGAACACCCGUGGCGAAGGCGGCUCUCCGGGACGGUACUGACGCUGAGACGCGAAAGCGUGGGGAGCGAACAGG
rnacentral:rRNA from 1 species